UCGGGAAUAUUGCGCAAUGGAGGAAACUCUGACGCAGUGACGCCGCGUGCAGGAAGAAGGUUUUCGGAUUGUAAACUGCUUUAGACAGGGAAGAAAAAAUGACAGUACCUGUAGAAUAAGCUCCGGCUAACUACGUGCCAGCAGCCGCGGUAAUACUUAGGGAGCGAGCGUUAUCCGGAUUUAUUGGGUGUAAAGGGUGCGUAGACGGGAAACUUAAGUUAGUUGUGAAAUCCCUCGGCUCAACUGAGGAACUGCAACUAAAACUGAUAUUCUUGAGUACUGGAGAGGAAAGUGGAAUUCCUAGUGUAGCGGUGAAAUGCGUAGAUAUUAGGAGGAACACCAGUGGCGAAGGCGACUUUCUGGACAGAAACUGACGUUGAGGCACGAAAGUGUGGGGAGCAAACAGGAUUAGAUACCC
rnacentral:rRNA from 1 species